GGGGGGGAGGAGCCAAGAUGGCCGAAUAGGAACAGCUCCUGUCUACAGCUCCCAGCUUGAGCCACGCAGAAGAUGGGUGAUUUCUGCAUUUCCAUCUGAGGUACCAGGCUACACCCUGCAAGGUCAUUAUCAUUAGCUGCACUUUACAGGAGAGGAAGCUGAGGCUCAGAGAAGCAAACUGCCCUCCUACUUAUGUUGAAGACUUUCCCAUCCUAUGAGCCCAGGUGGGAGAAGCUGAAAAUGGCAGAAGGUCACUUUUCCAGCUGCCCUGUGCCUGGUGAGCCUGUGACACAGACCCCGUUGCUCACAUAUCCACCCAGUUUGGUGCCAUAGGUGGUAGAGGGCCUCGAGGGCCAGGCUGGGGAGAUUUUGCUUUAUUCUCAAGACUCUGAAGACCCACUGACAGUCUGCUGUUCAUAAAAUUCCCUUUGUCAUGGAAAGACACAGCCAGCACUUCAGGGCCAAGGAGUUUGAAGAAGUCCAAGGUAGAGCUUUCUGGAAAAUCCUCUGGAGAGGUUGAUCAGAAACCUUCUCCCACAUAAACAAAGGACCCAGGAAGAAGCUAAAAAUGGGCCAUGAGAUUGUCUUUAUUCAUCAAGCCUGAAGUUUUCUGACUCUAUCUUUCUUUUCCCGUGGCCACUGUUACCUCUCCAGAACAGACCCCAUCACCUGAAUUCUGCCUGAGCCUCGACAGAUAUGCUCAGCUGCUCUCCCAUGCUGGCUGUUGUUACCCCAACCCACUUAAAAUUCCUUGAGGUCUUAGAAGCUCUCUCCCACCAAGGUGCCGAAAGAAGUAUUUCACAGGUUCUCAGUGACAAUUGUUUAUUGAAAUUUACACUGAUGAGAAGUGGUCCCUAUUAAGGGAAUUCAAUCCAAGGAGAUUGGCUCUAUACUUUGAACCGCUGUGGCCAAAUAAAUAGAUGACUGCUUGCUGCAAUUAUAUUGCUGUGGUCUUUGUAUAAAUAGAUUACCAAGAAUAGGACUCCACACAUCUAUCACCUUGGAAAGCUGAUUUGUAUAAUCUGGACAGGUGGCAAGGAAACGUAACUGUCUGCUCAAGGGAGAGCCUGCCUGGGGCAGAGGAAGAGAGUCUGAGUAGCAUCCCAGUUAAGUGCUCAAGCCCUGAGGUCAGGCUGCCUGCAUUUGAAUCCUGAUUCUGCCACCAAUUUUCUAAGUGGCAUGGCAAUGUUCUUAAACUUCCCUUUGUGUCAUAGUAAGCAACCGAAAAAUGGUGCUGAGGAUAGAGAACUCCAAAAAUAGAAAUUAUUGCUAGAAGGUUCCCUUGCAGUGGAUAUCGGGGAUUCAAUCUGUUAGUAUCCAGAAACUAGUUUUUCUGUUACUUUUGUGAAACCACUCAAGAUCUCUGUUUAACAAGCCUCCCAAAGAUCUUUUUUCAAUAUGUUUAUAUGUCUUGGGGAUUACAGCACUUGUGGGUUUCAGCAGAACUCUUUUUGCAGAGGUCUGGUGGUGUAGGAAAAGGGCUGUAGACUAGGAUCUGGGAGACAGACAUGUCUAUGUUGAGACCUGCCUCUGGAGCACUGGCCACCCUCUCCAAGCUGCUGCAGUUCUCUGAGAUCCAACUGUCUCCCCUGUUACAUAAUCACCACAGUUAAAAUAUCAAAGUUUAUAUCAACCCCAAAAGUUACCUCCUGCUUCUUUGUAAUCUUUGCCUCCAUCCACCCUUAUUCCUAGGCAACCACUGAUCUGUUUUAUGUCAAUACAGAUCAUUUUGCAUUCUCUCUAAUUUCAUAUACAUUGCAUCAUACUUUAUGCACUCUUUUAUCUGGAUACUUUCACUUAACAUAAUUAUUUUCACAUGCAUUCAUGUUGUUGUGUGCAACAACAGUUUAUUAGUUUUCAUUGCUGAAUAGUAUUCCAUUGUGUGGAUAUACCACAUUUGUUUAGCCACUCAUCUGUGAAUAGACAUUCGGGUUGUUUCCAGUUACUUGGUUAUUUCAAAU
ensembl:lncRNA novel transcript, antisense to EPHB1